rnacentral:rRNA from 1 species
GGACGGAAGAACCUUACCUACUCUUGACAUCCAGAGAACUUUCCAGAGAUGGAUUGGUGCCUUCGGGAACUCUGAGACAGGUGCUGCACGGCUGUCGUCAGCUCGUGUUGUGAAAUGUUGGGUUAAGUCCCGCAACGAGCGCAACCCUUAUCCUUUGUUGCUAGCGGUUCGGCCGGGAACUCAAAGGAGACUGCCAGUGAUAAACUGGAGGAAGGUGGGGAUGACGUCAAGUCAUCAUGGCCCUUACGAGUAGGGCUACACACGUGCUACAAUGGCGCAUACAAAGAGAAGCGACCUCGCGAGAGCAAGCGGACCUCAUAAAGUGCGUCGUAGUCCGGAUUGGAGUCUGCAACUCGACUCCAUGAAGUCGGAAUCGCUAGUAAUCGUAGAUCAGAAUGCUACGGUGAAUACGUUCCCGGGUCUUGUACACACCG